CCCUUAGAUGUUCUGGGCCGCACGCGUGCUACACUGAGUGGAUCAGCGGGUCAGGUUGCGCGAAAGUGUUUCCUAAUCUUUAAAUCCGCUCGUGAUGGGGAUUGACGGUUGCAAUUUUCCGUCAUGAACGAGGAAUACCUUGUAAGCGCGGGUCAUCAUCCCGCGCUGAAUACGUCCCUGCCCUUUGUACACACCGCCCGUCGCUCCUACCGAUUGAGUGGUCCGGUGAGGCUUUGGGAUCUGAGCGGAAGGAGCGUUUCGCUGUUUCUGCCCGGAAAACUCAGUCGAACCUUAUCAUUUAGAGGAAGGAGAAGUCGUAACA
rnacentral:rRNA from 1 species